rnacentral:rRNA from 1 species
CUCGGAAGCUAAGCAGGUACGGGCUUGGUUAGUACCUGGAUGGGAGACCGCCUGGGAAUACCAGGUGUUGUAGGCU